UUUCAUCUGUACUGAAUGUGUUUGCAGCAGGUUGAGGCUUCACUCGUAUAUAAAGUCUUUGUUUUAUUAGCAGGAAGCAAUCAAAGUAAUAAAUUAUUUAUCUGCUUCCAUCUGCAGCAGCAGCUUCAGUCUAAACACGACGUUUAAAUUCACACCGCUGUUGUUGUUUUUCUCCACGUUUCUCCUGUUUUAGUGAAGCUCCUGAUGGUGAACCUGCAGUGAGCUCACAUCCUGCGCCACCAGUGUUAUUAUUAUCAUUAUAACAAUAAUCAUUUUUCUUCUUCUCAUUGGGUCCAGGUUAGGGUUGGGUAUCGAAAUUCGGUUCUAAGUAGGAACCGAAUCAAAAACGGCGGGUACCGGGUACCCAUAAAAAAUAUUUACUUUCGGUUCUGCUUUUCGGUUCUUGGACGGACUUAUAACCUUUUUUACAAUGGCUGCGUGUCUGCCAGGAAACCUCAGCGAGAGGGCUCUGGGAGACCUGUCUGUUACGCUGAUAGCGUGAAUGUGCGACGUAGUCACGUAAAGGGGGGAAAAAAAACAACACCGGAGAAACUUUGCUAACUAUGGACCACGGGAAACGCUCUAAAGUGUGGCUUCAUUUUGAAAGGUAAAGAGAUGAAAAAGGAAAGUGCAACAUAUGUCAUAAGCUUACGAGCUGUAAGACAGGCUGCACGUCAAAUUUGACGAAACAUUUACGACUCCAUGGCAUCGAGCUGAAAGACUGUACAGUGUUUGAUCUUCUGCAGACCGACACAGCCAGUGCUAAUGUUGCUACAAGCAGCGUUAGCACCUUGCCAACAGCCCCAAAAGAGACACCGUUCACGUUGGCGAAAAGGAGGCUGACAAAAGAGAAAGCUGAGGAGUGUCACCGUGCAGUAACCAAGUUUGUAGUGAAAGGACUACAUCCUUUCUCGGUCGUCGAGUCUCCGUUAUUCAGGAAUCGUUUGGCACCGGAAUCGAUAAGCAGAACCGGAAUCGGAUUCAUAAAAAUCCUAACGAUACCCAUCCCAAGUCCAGGUCACCUGCUUGACUUCGGCCUGCAGGUGGCGUAGCUGCAGACUCUGCUCCAGCCGGCUGUGGGUGUGCUGGGCGCUCAGCUCCACCUCCUGCUGCUUCUCAUGAAGAAACUCCAGCAGCUCCUGAACCUGAGAGGCCA